CUGCUGCGCAGUGCGCACUAAAGGCUGCUCUUCUCGGUCAGUGUUCGUACAUCUAUCAUCUCCAGCAGUUCCUCGACCAUCCCUUUCACCAUGGGUGGAGUUGGGUCAAAAAAGAGGGCUGAGGAGGAGAGAGAAGAUCCUCCUGCAAAGAGACCUGAGAUCAGGGAGAAGGAGUUAAAGGAAGAACGCUUGGCUCUCAGACGUGGGCAGAUUGGACAUGCUGAUGAAAGCAGAGUGAAGUCAACACACUGGGAUAAUAACACGUUUUCAUUGAUGUUUAAUUAAGAAAUACCACAAGAAAGAAGAGGAACUGUAGGAAUAAAAUAACUUCUGUCAUUAUUUCUUCUCCUCUUAUAGGGAGAAGCUCUGGUCCCUUCUUCCUUUCUUCCCCAGUCAUCGCAGCAUUGACUUCAGUGCUGAGAAGAUAAGAGCAGGUUCUCCUGCACCGAGCUUUGUGUCCAGAAAAAGUGACCGCUCCAUGGAUUUCCCUUUUUCUUUCUAACGAGAUCCAGGGAUAGAUGCAGGACCCUGGACGGACCUGGAGAGACCUGGACUCCAUGGUCUCGGUGUGUUCUAGUAGUGUUGUGUUGAGGUUCCUAUUCAGGCAGUAGAUGACAUAAUCAAGGGGAGUCGCCUCACAGAAGCAGAGCAGUGAACUUCAGUGGUAGCAGCGAAAAUGAUUGUUACAGGUUACAGUUGUUAGCUAAUGUGACUUUUAGUUCAUAAGUAAAUACAUCUUAAUAAAUGUGUACACCUGUCUCUAUAAAGGCAGCUAGUUUAAGGGAUUUAAAGCUAUAUUCAGAAUUUGUAUUGCUUUCCAUUUCCGUCAGAGCCCUUUCAGACGGGGAUCUGAAGCCGUUAUCCAUGCUCUCUUCAGGGUUCCCACGGGUGCUGGAAAUCCUUGAAAAUGCUUGAAAUGUUAUGUGGUGUUUUCAAGGUUUGAAAAGUGCUGGAAUUUUGGCAAUGGUGCUUGAAUUUGGGAUAAAGUGCCUGAAAUUGUAAAUGCUUUACUUCGCUUUUUAGAUUAAACUCCAUGGUCUUUUUAGACCUGAAGCAAAGAUGGCGCCAGCAGUGGCACGGCGAGACAUAUCCCAGCCCUGUUCAGCCUUUUAUUAGUUCUAGUAGUUUUAUUGUUUUGUGUUUUUUGUCAGAAUGUCUCUGCUCUACUAGUUUAUGACCGCCAGUCGCUUAUGGAAAUCAAAGCGUUUCAGGAGGGGGUAUUAGAGCAAUGUUUAGGAGAGCCAACCUCGAAUCCUCCUCCUCCACUUUUUUCAAGCAUACCUGCGCCGCCAGGUAUAUGCCAUCCCCCAGAGGAAGCGCCCAAGACGAAGGGGAAAGCGGGGCGGAGAAGCCGUAAGGAUCAGGGCUUACCUGCUAUCUCUACGUGAAAAGGCCCUUAGCCUCCAUAGCAGUGGAUGCUGCGCUGCCCCGAUGAUUAAGCAGAGAUGGCUCCUCCGCGUCUUUGCGGUUGUUUAUAGCAUAAAGAACAUCUGAUUUAAUGGGAGGUAGGGAAAUAAUCAUUUGAGUAUAAGUAUGUGUAUAUAAUUAAGCAAUAGCUCACGACAGGCCGUGGUAUAUGGCCAUUAUAUCACAGUUAAGGGGCGUGGUUCGGCCCGACGC